GCGCGCCGGGGGCGGCCCAGACCCACCUGGGGGCGCGCAGGCGGCUCCGGGGCGCCGGGACGGGCCUGCGCUCGGGGCGCGCAGGGCGCGCGGCCUCCGGCCCCCCGGCGACACUUCUUUACUCCAUCUGAAGAGGGGGAGUGGAACCCGGCCUCCGCGGCCUCCAAGGUCCAGUGGCUCCAGCACAGCCAGGGUCAGAGUCCUGUGAGGAGCUGUCACUACUGCUGUAGUGGAGCUGGCCGGCCACCGGCCGCAGGUUCCCGGCUUCUCCUUAUUAUUAAGGCCAUAAUAACCUCCCCGGGUGACAUCACAGGAUCACUGGAGUCACUGCCUGCUUCCUAACAGGAAGUCCCACAGGAGGGUAGCCGGAGCCAUUAGAACCUGGAAGUCACAGCCGAGUGCUUGACCAUCUGCUUCUUCAACUGUGGAGCCUGCACAGGUGCUUCUUACCCUCCCUAUCACCCUUCAGAGGGAGACAGUGUUGACCUGGCUCCUAGGGCGACCUUAACAAGUUACCUCCACCCCGUGACUUAAAGCAGACCUGAGUGCUGGAGGCCAGCCUGCAAGGUGUGAAAUCAGUGCCAGCAGCACCACGCUCUCAGCUUCUCAGCUCUCCGAAGGAAGGCUCGAGGGGGCCAUCCUUCCUGCCUCCUCCAGCUCCUGGUGGCUCCAGGGGCUCCUUGGCGUGGAUCAGCAUCACUCCCAUCUCUGCCUCUGUCUUCACAGGGCCCGGUCCCCUGUGUGUGCUCUCCCUUUCUCUCUUCUUACAAGGACGCGCUGCAUUUAGGGCGCCCCCAAACCCAGAACGAUCUCCUCCCCAGGGGUCCUUGUAAUAUCCACAAAGACCCCUUUUCCAAAUAAGGUCCCGUUCACCGGGUCCAGGCAAAGAUGAUGUUUGGUCUAAAAAUGUGUGUUUCUUGCCCUACCGGUUUGGCUCAGUGGAUAGAGCGUCGGCCUGCAGAUUGAAGGGUCCCGGGUUUGAUUCCAGUCAAGGGCACAUACCCGGGUGGUGAGCUGAAUCCCCAGUGGGGGGCAUGCAGGAGGUAGCUAAUCAAUGAUUCUCAUCAUUGAUGUUUCUAUCUCUCUCUACCUCUCCCUUCCUCUCUGAA